UCGCACGCCAGAGAAUCGAACGACAAAAAGCCUAGGAAGAAAAACCAACGAAAAAAUCCCUCGAGCUCCGACGGGAACGAGGCUCCCCUCGAUCUCAAACAACGCUAGGGUUUGCCCAGCCGCCACGCUCCGCGCUGCCGCCCAAGGCCCGCUCCGCCCCCACCGCUCCCCGCAACGCCACUGCCGGAGGGCCGGCCGGCGAAGCCGCGCCGCGCCCAGGGACGGCAGCGGCGGGGCGGUUCCGUCUCCCUACCUCCUGCCAGAGCCCCCACCCCACCAUACGUGGAUCUGGCCGGGAGCCCCGCCGCCGAUGAGGGCCACACCGGCGAUCUCGCGCAACCUACCCGCCUCCUGUUUCCUCUCCGUUCUCCUCCUUCUCUCUCCAACCCUUGUUCAUCCGCGGCCGCAGCUCGCCCCGAUUCAUGGCCCUCUCCUUCCGCCAACUCUGGUCCGUCACCGGUCGUCUGUGGCGCGAGCGUCGCGCCUCCUCCUCAACCUCCUCGAUCCGUGAUGCCCUAACUGCACUGCGCACUUGCGCCUCGCGAGCCAUGGCCACCUUUUGCCGAGCUGCGGGAUCGACGUCUGACCGCCACCACGACCGGCCUCUUGCGAAGGUCCCGGUCGCCGUCUCCUGUGCCUUUGGACCUUGGGAGCGGUGAUUAUAUGCCAGCAUGUGUGCAGGACGAUGGGAAGACGAGCUAGAGGCCAAAAGCAAUAUUGCAACACCAUGCGUGAGGAACAUGAUUCUGCCAGUAUUUAAGCAUUAUACUUGCUAACACUGAGAGCUUAAUUAUCUUUGAUGCAACCAGUCCGUCCAAGCAUGCAAAUAGUUGAUUUGGGAUGUAGAGAUUAAAGAACAGCAAAAUCGUAAGCCAUCGGGUCAGGACGUCAGGUUCAGAAUUGUCUUGGCAUCUUCCAGUGUGGCGACGAUGUUGAUUGUCGGGAUUUGAAGAUAAGUGUGCUCCAUACCGUGGCUGAGCCUGUCGGUUUCGCAGAGUGGCUGCACGACACCUCAUGGACCCGAUGUGAAGGACAAGUAAGCCAUCCACACGAAGUCGGCGGCAGCAAGGGUGUGGGGCGUCGGGAGGAGCAUCUGGGUUGAAGGUUCUGGCCCUCGCCAUUGAGACUACCGUGGUCGUCGCCGAGUACAUCUGAUCCAAGGCAUGGAGAACUCCAAGGAGUUUGCUGACAAGCUGUUUGGGAUAUGUCGAGGCAAAGGAACAUUGAGCCAGAUGAAGGCAUUAACAAGGAUCAGCUCAGAGAGGUGGAACAUGAACAUUGAUGGGAUGCUCACAGAAGAUGAGGUCAAGAAGGUGGCUACGCAAAUGAUCACAAAGAGAAGACUACCGCUGGGCCUUUUGAUCGACCACGCGAUUCAAAAAGCUCUUUAGUGCAGUUUGCAACAAAAAAAAUUAGAGGAUUGGUCGUUUGUAAGGGUGGAUAUCUUAGAGGCGGCAGCCACCCGGAUUGGAAUUUAAUUUCAAUCUAUUUCCCUGUCUGAAGUUUCAUACUAGAUGAGUUGCAAGUGGUACUAUGUUCCUACGCUGCGUCGACCCGAGCAGUUGCGAGAGCGAAUGAAGUUGCGGUUGCACGGACAAGCUUGUGGAGGUGUUAGUAUGCACGCAUGCGUCCCUGAUUUGGAGCAUGCCUCUGGCCUGGUAGGAUUCUCGCUCUGCCCCGACCUCAAGGGCGUUCCUCUAUCUGUGUCGUGCUCGGGACCAUGCACUAAUGCAGGUGCGGUUCUUCAGCUUUUCUUUGUCUUUUUCUUGGUAUGUAUGCAGGUGCGGUUCUUCAGCUUUUCUUUGUCUUUUUCUUGGUAUGUAUAUCUCUCAAUCUUGUGAGCCGUGAUUUUCAUGCUGCCAUGUAUGCCAUUAUGUCCUGUAUAAUGAUUCUUCUUAUUAUUUUUGAAUGGCAUAAUUAUUCUUAUUGAGGCACUGCCGCUGCCUAAUUUGCUUAUAGAAAUAACAUACUAAUUAUAAUACAGGAAGAGAGUACGAUUUUUUGACACAAUCUGCAGUACCUGUGAGCCUGCCCAUAGGUAGAUAUGGAUACAUUUUGUAGCUUCCAUUCUUGUUUUCUCAUUAAAAUUAUGGAUUUGGAAACUAAUCAUGGAGUGUCUAGAUUGCCUGCUAUAUUACCAAGUGCGCUGGAGGAAAAGUUGCUGCCACUGUUGAUGACCACUCUAGGUGAUAUAAUUCAUGUUUGCUUUGUUGUUUUACUAACUUCCUGUAGCAUAUUGGUUCCAUCUUUUUUCUUGCAUCAUGGUACAUUAUUCUCAUCUUGAUAUAUAUCAUUUGGUCAACUGAAGAUUUGAGUGCAGGGUAGAAUUCUUGGUUGAUUUUAGAAUUUCGUUGUUGAUUAGUUGGCCAACGGACUUUUAUGAAAUUCAAGGCGUCAUUUAGUGUACUAUAUGUCAUAUUUGUCUUAUUUCUAUACUCACAAUAUUUCCGCAUCAUCUGAACAAAUGAUGCUAAAUUGAUAUAAUCAUUUUGGAUCAGUGUCAUCUUCUCAAUGCUGAACAGCCAAAAUAUAUACAUAGUGAGCAUUCCGCCGCACAUGCUCAUACGUCAUAUUUAUGUACUGUUUAAUACGGCAAAAAUUGGUCAAACAUUUAAAAAUUUCUACUGUUUAACACAACCAAAGUAUAUACAUAAUGAUCAGUCCUUCGCUGCACGUUAGAUCCAGCCUCCCUCCCUUGACACCAUUCUUCUUACUUAUUAUUAUUUAUUUUAAAAAUAUCUUUAGUUUUAUUUUCUAGCUACUUCAAUUCAUUUGUAUAUGGUUAGUUCCAUCGCACUACGAGGAUGAUCCAUGGCUGGUCGCGGACGAUCACCUGCGAGGACGAUUCAUGGCCGGUUGGGGAUGGUCAGUUCCAUCACACUGCGAGGAGAUGAUUCAUGGUCAGUCGGGGAUGGUCACCUGCGAUUUUUGUACCCACAACCCGAAGGCCAACCUUAAUACUGGACCUUGAAAGGGGCAUGUGGCCAACCAUGCCGGAGGACGCAGAUGAGUUGUUUGGGAAUGUUAUCAUGAGAGGACCCAAGAAGCAACCCACCACGGAUGCAUGGACCAACCACGCAAGUCCAUUCUUGCAAUCCAUCUGUGGCGAGGGUUCAUGACAGACAAGCCAAUAGAUUUGGGGGUUCACUUCUUGGUGAAACAAAUGUUCAUUGCGGACAAUACGAAGACGAUGAUUGGUACAAUGAGUUCCAUCGCACUACGAGGAUGAUCCAUGGCUGGUCGCGGACGAUCACCUGCGAGGACGAUUCAUGGCCGGUUGGGGAUGGUCAGUUCCAUCACACUGCGAGGAGAUGAUUCAUGGUCAGUCGGGGAUGGUCACCUGCGCCCGAAGGCCAACCUUAAUACUGGACCUCGAAAGGGGCAUGUGGCCAACCAUGCCGGAGGACGCAGAGGGUUGUUUGGGAAUGUUAUCAUGAGAGGACCCAAGAAGCAACCCACCACGGAUGCAUGGACCAACCACGCAAGUCCAUUCUUGCAAUCCAUCUGUGGCGAGGGUUCAUGACAGACAAGCCAAUAUAUUUGGGGGUCCACUUCCUAGUGAAACAAAUGUUCAUUGCGGACAAUACGAAGACGAUGAUUGGUACAAUGAGGUGAAUAUAUUAGAAUUUUUAUUCUUCUCUCUCCAUGUCUAUGUUUGUGCUUGAUCAACUGUCCACUUAAUGAUUUUAGUUGUACAAAGUCCUAAGCUGGUCUCACUAGGUCGUACCCAGUGGCGGAGACAGGGGGGACCUGCAGGGGCCCUGGCCCCCCUAACACCAUGAUUUUGCAUGUAAUUUGCUAUGAACAGUGGCAAAAUUAGUACUAAUUUGCUACUAAAAAUCUAUUUUUCAAUACUUUGGUCCUCCCCAACCAGUUUUAGUAGCACUUGGCCUCCCUUAUAGAUAUUUUCUGGCUCCGCCACUGGUUCGUACUCGUACCACACCGUGGGAAGGUUAUGGCCAAGAAUGAGCUAGAGGUUAUUGCUUUGGCGACGCCGAAGGCCGUUCACGCGAAGAGGAGAUGUGUGGCUACAAACACUUGAAUUAUCUCCAAUCAUGUACUUCAGGCUGCAGGGUUGCACCUUGGAGUUCAAAAUUUGGUGUCUUCGCAUUGAAGGAUUCAACCCAUCGACUUUGGAGUUUGAACAUGUCACUUGUGAUGGGGAGAGGAAGAGAUGACUUGCAUACACUGGACAAUGAGUGUGUUAGCAGCGUGGUGGCUCAGGACUGUACAAGUUGUAGUAGCCCCUUCCCUUAUAAAUGUUUUGUUUUGAUUGGAAGCACCUUAUAAUUAGCUAAUAUAUGGAUUUCAUUUACAUCGUCUGUCCAAGUAUGCGAGGCCCAUGAGACGGGCAUUAAUCACUUCUCUUUUUUGUCAGUAUUUUGAUAGGGGACCUAUGUAUAUGGGAAGGAGUUAGUAUCAUGUAAAUCGUAUCACCAAUUUAAGGAUCCUCAUGUUUUCUUACUUUUCAACACUUAUUUGUGAUUUUGUUC